AUGAAAUGUAAUUCCUACAACAUUAAUUCACCAAAUCCCAUUAGAACUAUGCAUUUAAGCGUGCUUGGGAUAGAGUAGUAUUGGGAUGGGUGACCUCCCAGGAAGUCUUAGUGUUUUACAUG
rnacentral:rRNA from 1 species